AUGCAGGCAUCAUCACAUCAGGAGGUCCAUGGAAAAGUUUCAGCAAUUCUUCAGAAUUAUGAUGUUGGUCCUCUUGGAAAAGGAAUUUGUGUUGAAGAGCUUAAAUGCCGCCCAUAUGACUGCAGAGUGCCCCAUAGUGUAUUACAUGGACAUGGGGACACAGAUUUCACCAAGGCAACCACAGGAUCACCAACUCUGGAUGCCAAGGCAAAAAAAGCUGUGAGAAGGAAACCACGCAGAGGAGAAGACCUCUGGUACGCAAGGGACCAGUUCAUACCGAUAUGGAGGUCGGUGCUUAGUGCGCGGUAUAUCACGAGAAUCAUUCCAUCCUAUGUGCCGAAGAAAGAGUUUGCAGAUCUUCAGCCUCAAACUCAAAUCCAGCUUGGCUUGUUGGAGAGAAGGUAUAUUUUCUACAAUCCAUUCUCCGCAAGCAACUGCCGAUCAACCAGAAGGGGAUUUGGGCCCGACGUGUCAACUCUCCUGAAGACGCUGAAGCGAGUCAUGUGA
rnacentral:rRNA from 1 species